UCGAGAAUCAUUCGCAAUGGGCGAAAGCCUGACGGUGCGACGCCGCGUGGAGGAUGAAGGCCCUAGGGUCGUAAACUCCUGUCAUCAGGGAGUAAUGGCUCAUAUAGUAACUGAUAUGGGUCUUGAUAGUACCUGAAGAGGAAGGGACGGCAAACUUCGUGCCAGCAGCCGCGGUAAUACGAAGGUCCCAAGCGUUGUUCGAAUUUACUGGGCGUAAAGAGUCUGUAGGCGGUGGGGUAAGUCAGAUGUGAAAUCCCGGGGCUCAACCCCGGAACUGCAUCCGAUACUGCCUUACUUGAGGGUCGGAGGGGAGUCUGGAAUUCUCGGUGUAGCAGUGAAAUGCGUAGAUAUCGAGAGGAACACUAGUGGCGAAGGCGAGACUCUGGACGACAACUGACGCUGAGAGACGAAGGCCAGGGGAGCGAAAAGGAUUAGAUACCCAAGUAGUCCCUGAGCGGGCUGGCAAGGCGCAU
rnacentral:rRNA from 1 species